GGGUUGUGAGGUUAAGCGACUAAGCGUACACGGUGGAUGCCCUGGCAGUCAGAGGCGAUGAAGGGCGUGCUAAUCUGCGAUAAGCGCCGGUAAGGUGAUAUGAACCGUUAUAACCGGCGAUACCCGAAUGGGGAAACCCAGUGUGAUUCGUCACACUAUCAUUAACUGAAUCCAUAGGUUAAUGAGGCGAACCGGGGGAACUGAAACAUCUAAGUACCCCGAGGAAAAGAAAUCAACCGAGAUUCCCCCAGUAGCGGCGAGCGAACGGGGAGGAGCCCAGAGCCUGAAUCAGCAUGUGUGUUAGUGGAAGCGUCUGGAAAGGCGCGCGAUACAGGGUGACAGCCCCGUACACAAAAGCGCAUGUGCUGUGAGCUCGAUGAGUAGGGCGGGACACGUGGUAUCCUGUCUGAAUAUGGGGGGACCAUCCUCCAAGGCUAAAUACUCCUGACUGACCGAUAGUGAACCAGUACCGUGAGGGAAAGGCGAAAAGAACCCCGGCGAGGGGAGUGAAAAAGAACCUGAAACCGUGUACGUACAAGCAGUGGGAGCCCCACCACCAAAGCAUUCUCUGGUGUUGAAGGCCCUGCAAAGCAGCAUCGCGGUGGCGGAGCGUCGUUUGCGACGCCCAACACACAAAACAAGCGGUGAGUGCUUUGGGGUGGGGUGACUGCGUACCUUUUGUAUAAUGGGUCAGCGACUUAUAUUCUGUAGCAAGGUUAACCG
rnacentral:rRNA from 1 species